rnacentral:tRNA from 1 species
ACCUGAGUGGCUCAGUGGUUGAGCAUCUGCCUUUGGCUCAGGGUGUGAUCCCGGGUCCUGGGAUCGAGUCCCACAUCAGGUU